rnacentral:misc_RNA from 1 species
GAAGGAGGAGUGGCCGAGUGAGCUAGAUUGGUAGUUGCAACUCAUCUUUCUGAAACGUCACAUCCAUAGUUUUUCUCCAUCGUCAUUUCCUCAAAUACAUGAAGAUCAAUAGCCGCUCCUGAUUCUUUCCUCUUCUUCAUCCCAUCUUUUCCACUAUGUUGGAUCUUAACCUCUCUGUCCACAACCACCACAACAUUCUACAACUUUCCGCCACCCAUACGGAAACUUCUACUGCCUUCAAUUCCUCCUCCAUCGCCGACGAUGACCCCUGCUUCAGCGCCCGACCUUUCGCCCACGCUUUCAGCAUUUUAACUAAUGACCCUACCAAAUCCUUUGACGAUGACGACGACGCCGGUGACCCUACCAUCCAGCUUUUUCCGCUCGACGGUAACUCUUCCGAUUCCAUGUCGCGGCAGUUUUUGGAUCUCGGGUGCAGGGAGAUGGUGCCUCAGUUGCAGCAGAGGCCCCAGGUCAAGAAGAGUAGGCGUGGGCCCAGGUCCAGAAGCUCGCAGUAUCGGGGAGUCACGUUUUACCGGAGAACUGGGAGAUGGGAAUCGCAUAUUUGGGAUUGUGGGAAACAAGUGUACUUGGGGGGAUUUGAUACUGCACAUGCUGCAGCUAGGGCAUAUGAUCGAGCUGCGAUCAAGUUCCGUGGGGUUGAUGCUGAUAUCAACUUUAAUGUGAGUGACUAUGAAGAAGACAUUAAGCAGAUGAGUAAUUUUUCAAAAGAAGAAUUUGUGCAUAUCCUGCGUCGCCAGAGCACUGGAUUCUCAAGAGGAAGCUCUAAAUUUAGAGGAGUGACACUGCAUAAAUGUGGGCGAUGGGAAGCUCGUAUGGGCCAGUUUCUGGGCAAGAAGUGAGAACCUCUUUGGUUUUGCAUAUAUCCAGAUUUUUUUCAGCCUUUUGUUUCUUUUCCUUAUAGUUUCCAAAGGUUACUGUUAUUUUUGUGUUAUUGUUGCAAGUUUCAAGAGCUAGAAAUAUGCAGGAUUGUAGUAAGACUAUGGAACCUGAUUUUGGUUUCAGGUAUAUGUAUCUUGGGCUAUUCGACAGUGAGAUAGAAGCUGCAAGGGCUUAUGACAAGGCUGCCAUAAAGUGCAAUGGAAGGGAAGCAGUCACCAACUUUGAGCCUAGUACAUAUGAAUGCGAAGUAAUGUUGGAGGCCAAUAGUGGAGGUACUAAUUGUUGUUGAAAACUCAGUUCAUCUUUGACUUCAACUAGGUGCUUUAUAUAUCAAUUUACAGUGAUAUAAUUUUGAUACAGAUGACAACCAAAACCUUGACCUAAACUUGGGAAUUGCUCCACCUGAUUUAUCUCAUAGCCAAAAGAUAAACAGAGAUACAGGUGUUUUCCAUUUUCAGAGUAACUGUGAUGGUAGAUCUGUUGACAGGGGGCCAACGGUAAUCUUGACAAUAAUUUUUAUGAUCUCAAAGUAAACUGUGUUUGUGAACCCUGCAGAAUUCUCUUCAUAGCUCCAUUGAACUUUUGGUUGAGGUCUUGGGAUUAGCUCACUUUUAUUAUUCUCUUACAGAUUCUAAACUCUGCUUCUGCAAAAUUGAAGUAUGAACUGCCGUAUAACCCUGCAAUGGCAUCUCAACACCCUCAUUUAUGGGGUGGCAUAGAUUCCAAUUUCUUUCCCAUCUCCAAUGUAAUUCCCUUAAUCUAAUUUCAUUUUCAAGUCACGCCUUUAGUUUUUCUCUGUUUGCUUUGCAAUAUGGAUUGUUUCAACUUUUAACCAAAUGAAUAUUUAUUUCAUGGUUACAAAAAAAUCUCUGUAUUCUCUAGUUGGGGCACAUGCAUAAACAUUCACGUGAAGUGAUUGUAGCAUCAUGCCAAUCAACUUGCAAAAUGAGCCUCAUGCAGUGUUGCUUAUAGCUAUGACACUGUAUCUUAACUUCAUAAGACAUGUCCAUUGACCAAUGUUUUUCGCUUAAUCACUGAAAGCUUUUUGGGUUCACAGCAAUUUAUUCACCAUUACUAAAUAUUACCAAUACAUAUUGCAUUUGUUUCCCCCUCUUAAUGACAAAGUUAACGGACAAGUUGUAGGAAAGAGCAAUAGAGAAGUGGGUGGAAGUAGAUUCGUUGCCAAAAUGGAUGUGGCAAACCCAAGGGGCAAAUCCACUGUCUCUCUUCUCCACUGCAGCAUCAUCAGGAUUCGCAUCUUCAACAAUUACUGCACCUGCAGCAACUGUUAGUCAACUUCAUUUUCCAAAUUCAACAAUUCUCUACCACCAAAUUUCUCCUUCUGUCGCCAACCCCAGCAACGUCUCUCAUUUCUAUUGUAGGAGCUGAAAGAUUAACAUAGCCACAGUCCAAAAACCUUUUCUUCGGUAUAGAAAAGAGAUGGGUGGGCAGAGAAUGAAAAAGCCAAGAAUGGUAAUCAAAUUCAUAUUUUCAAUAGCAAUAUUCCGCAUUUAUCUUUGUUGUAAAGCUCAUUAAACUGGAUAAUUUUGGCCUUGUUGGUUGGAGUAAAUCAUGAAAAUUUUUUUUGCUUAUGUAACCGUCCUGCCAUGCUAUGCCUGUGCUUUUAUUUGUUUGUAGCCCUAUUGGCAUCCAUCUUAUGCUUUGCAUGUUAGACCAAAGUUUAGAAAGUCAAGCUGCAUGUGAAUUCUUUCUGAGUUAACCAGACAGAAAAAAAGUGAAAAUUAAUUUCUCCAAGGCUUCAGGAGAAUGCUUUUGUUCUUAACAUUGGAGUACAAGUUGUUUUGAAAACUGUAGAUAAACCAAUGCUAAUUUGUAUCCCAGCAUGUUCAUGUUUACUAUUUAUUCUAGCAAUUAGCAUCAGUUUGGGUAAUUUUUUUUUUCCUCAGGAGAUCGUAUGGGUGAUCCUUCUUUGAUUCCCGAAUUAUUUAUGAACACAUGAACUGUAUAUUAUACUAUUAAUUGAAAUGAACUGCUCGAUUAAUUAUCCUGCUCUUUCCUUUCUCUGAUUCUAGGGUUUUGAUUCUCAUCUUAUUUCCCGAUAGAAAAUCAAU